GCACAGCUCACGUAGCUUCCCUCAGAAGCGCUUUACCCCAUCCAAAGAUACAUCUUGGCAGAGAAAAUCAAGGCAGAUUUUGUUUAAAAAGGUAGGAGAUAGCAAAGCCGCUUUCUUCCCUGGAAGAAAGUCUAUAUACAGACAACCUGCUAGCUUCAUCCUCCAAUGCCUGUGGACUACAGUCGAAGGGAAAAUAUCUUUAAAAGAAAAAUGUGACCGCCUAUAGAAGCUUGUAGGGGAAAGAUCCCACCCAGCUAAGCAAACAUGGAUGAAAUGGGAAGGCAGCUUAACACCAUAGUGGUGUAAGACCGGUUCUGAGACCAGCUUGUUUGAUUUGAGUUAGAAUGACCCUGAUUGUUGUCAGAGGGCAGGGCGUGCCCUGGGUACAGCGCGGUCCAACAGAAACAGGCGAAACUAGCUUUCCUCUGAGCUUGCUACUAAGGGCAGCAACUGAGGAACGUUUGACAGCUUAUCGAGCACAGAGGCACGUUCUGACCCCAGCCCUGUGAGGAAUGAGCUCUCUGGCUUGUUUCGCAGGCGGGGAAACAGACUCAGAGGCCAGUGGCUUGCCCAGGAUGUCCCAGAGCUAGCACCUGGCAGAGUCAGGGCUUCUGGGGGUCCAGCUGCACACCUCAUGUUUUUUCCGUGGAACCAUGCCACUGUCAUUUGGAACGCAGCCAGCAGGGUGAGGACCACACUGCUAGUGGACUGACCCCAUGCCUGAGCUUGGUGUGAUGGUCUUAGCUCCAUGUGAGUAACUAAACCGCUUUUGGCUUCAGUUUCCCCAGCUGCAUGAGGAGGGGACUGACUCCAACUCACACCUUCCCAGAAGGAAGGCAUAACUAUGGCACACAGGAGAAAUCGGGAGGAACCAGACUGCAUGGCUUCCUGUGAAUUCUGUCCCUUGGAGGAUGCUGGACUUUCGCAACCUGCUGUACCAGAGACCAAGAACCUGGGUGCCAGAGCAGAUGGACUGGGGAUGGAGGACCAAAUCCACUACUUCCAAACUGAAGACUUUGAGCAGAUCGCUUGGCCUAGCCAAGACUCAGUAUCUUUUUCUGUAAAAUGGGGACAAAAAGGACUGCCCUCUCCCCAAGGUGGUUGUGAAGAGUGAGACAGUGCGUGGAGUGUGCUAGGCAUGCUGCCUGGUGUAAGAACUGUCCCAUAAAUGAUCGGUCACUUUUCUUGUUAA